UACGUAGGGGGCUAGCGUUAUCCGGAUUUACUGGGCGUAAAGGGUGCGUAGGCGGUCUUUUAAGUUAGGAGUGAAAGGCUACGGCUCAACCGUAGUAAGCUCUUGAAACUGGAGGACUUGAGUGCAGGAGAGGAGAGUGGAAUUCCUAGUGUAGCGGUGAAAUGCGUAGAUAUUAGGAGGAACACCAGUAGCGAAGGCGGCUCUCUGGACUGUAACUGACGCUGAGGCACGAAAGCGUGGGGAGCAAACAGG
rnacentral:rRNA from 1 species